UGUCUAGGGGCUCAAACCUAAAGAACCCAAAUAUCUAAACGGAGAAAUUCAAUACUACCGGUUAAACGCGUAGUGUGCACUUUUCUCUUAGUAAGACGCCGUGAUCCAUUAGAAAUUGAUACAUACAAAAUGUAUAUUGGGUCAUCAAUAGGCCAGUAUGAAGUUUAUUGGAACAAAUGGCAUGAUCUUAUACGGUCGUGUGUAUUGUCUGGUAAGCAUAUUGUGUCCUGUAAUGACUGUCUGAUGGAUUUUAAAGAUGAUAUCAAUGAUGUUACGGCAUCACUUAUCAUUGAUAAGAGUACGAUAUCUAUCUGAUCAACGGUGGUUAAAUUUGGGAUACCUUUUGGACCCGUCUUGAAACACGGACCAAGGAGUCUAUCUAGUAUGCGAGUAAAUGGAUAGUUUAUGAAAUCUAUUUGCAUAAUAAACUUGACUGUUUUUAUGGGAUUACGAGAUUAGAUACUAACGUGUUURUCUCUUCCAUCCCGGGGUAUUUUCAUCAACAUAUGCUUGCAUAUGGAAAAUAUACCAUGAGCACACUGGAUACGACCCGAAAGAUGGUGAACUAUGCCUGAUCAGGUCGAAGUCAGGGGAAACCCUGAUGGAGGACCGAAGCAGUUCUGACGUGCAAAUCGAUUGUCAGAAUUGGGCAUAGGGGCGAAAGACCAAUCGAACCAUC
rnacentral:rRNA from 1 species